rnacentral:tRNA from 1 species
UGCGGGGUUGAGGAGCGGCUCCCUCACCUGGCUCAUAACCCGGGCACGCUGGUUCGAAUCCAGCCUCCGCAA